rnacentral:lncRNA from 1 species
CCGUGUUAGUUACAUGAGACUGUUUUCACUUCAUGAAAUCUAUUAGGCUACACAUUUGUGAUCUAUGCACUUUUCUGUAUUAUGUAAUACUAAAAUAAAAUAGUUUAUUAAACAAAAAAUUCUACUUCUCUCAAUUUUAUUACUUAAGUAUCAAUUGAACCACACUUUUUCCUCUCUGUCAUUGCCACAGUUAAUCUCUCACCUUCAAAAUGGUGGAAGCUUGCCAACUGGUCUUGCUCCACCCAAAGGUAUCCCAUGCAACCAUCUGUAAAAAUCCUCUGAAUGGCACAUAUAACCACCCCAGUGGCCUAUUGAAAACCAUUAGUGUCAGCCUAGCUAUAUAAUAUAGCUUCUUACUGACAAGUCUUUCAUUUUUUUCUAUUUGCCUCCAUGUCCAGUGUUCACUUUCCUAUUUGUAUUCUUAGUGUAUAUUAAAAUUUGACAUGUUAUUUUAUGAAGUUCAACAGGUAAUAAUAACUAAGCUGGCAUCUGAAACCAGGUUUUCAUGGCUCUGCAACCUAUGUUCUUCUUGUAACAUGACAGUAUGCACUGUUGUACAGAAUCAGUGUUAUUUUAGUUUAAUAAUAUCUACUUUCAAAUAGUUGAUUUUUUUAAAAAGAAAGAAGAAAAAGAAGAUAAAGAAUCAAAGCUAUUACAAUUUAUUUUUAUGGUUUUCUCCAGCUGUGCUCCCAUCUCAGAGUACACUUAAAAUAGCAGAAACUUUGACAUUGUCAUUUAUUCUGAGAGAAAUGACAAACCACUGAAAAAACUUAUUAGAGCAGGAGAAUAACAUAAUCAUAUUCCAGUUCUCAAAAAUUAGAAUGAAAAUAGUGGUGAGGCAGAUUAGAAGGACUAAGAAUGAAAGUAAAGAGAACAAGUGGAAUUUAUUUGGUUAACAUGAAUAAAAUCUACUGACAGCUUGAAGACAAAUUCAAUUAUAAAUAAAUGAUAAAACAUUUAAAAGAUCAUUAAAUUUCCAUUCUUAGAGGUGAUGAGACAACUAAGAAAUAUAAUGCUAUUAAAUAAUCACUUCUAAAAAAAGUGGUUUGGACUAGACAAUCUUUUGAGCUACAUCAUUCAAGUAUAAGAUGAAAAGAUAAUUCUCUGGAAUCUAAUAAUCAGGAAUUUAUUAAGCCUGCAAAUACUGUCUAAGAAUAUUAUUCCUCUAUGUUUUGCAAUUGCUUAGUAACUUAAAAUAUUCAUGGAUUAAGGAGUGAUAGCAUAGGUAUUUUAUGAAUAGGAAAAAAUAAAUGGCUAAAAAAUCAGAAAAUAGGAAAAAACAAUACUCCAAAUAUGCAAAUAUGAUACAGUGGACAUAGUUGAUACAAUGCACAGUGUAAGAAUGAUUUCUUAUUAACAAUAAUAAUCCAGGUUUAAAAUACCACCUUAUUAAAAAUUGGGACCAAGAGUAAGAAGGAAACAACAUUCUCUCCUACUAUAUGACAAUGUAGAUUACAUACCAUUAUAGAUAGAUUGUGUUCUUUCUCAAGGUAAUAUGGAAAUUUCAAGUAUGUUUUGUUUUUAAAGGUAACCAUACUCAGUAUAAUUAAUAUAUGUAAGAUUCAAGUCAUUGAAGAAAAAAGCAUAAAGAACUUGUUUGAUAUAGUACAAUCUAGGAAGGAGGAGCAAUAAAGCCUAAAGUAGAAAAUAUAAAAUAAGAGGGUAAAGUACAACAAAAAUAUCAGUGGACACAGUGAUUGUAAAGUAAUUAAAUUCCUCUUCUUUUGGUAAGAGAAUCUCAACCAAUAAUAUGAACUUAAUAACAGACAAAAUAAAAUGAAACGAGGCAGAAAAUUUUAACAUAAAAAGAUGAACAGUCAUACACUGGGCAAUUACAAAUAAAAAGAAAACAUCCUUGGUAAUAUCAGUAUUGUACACAUCAAAGAAAAACCAUCAAAUGGGAAAACAAGCAUGCCUUAUAUGAAUAACACAUGAAUGAACAUCUAUAUGUAGAAAUGGAAAUUAUAAGCAUUAAUGUUUAACAUAAUUUUCAGUAAAAUAUUUAAAGCAAAACCAGGAAAACAUGGUAGAGUUGGUAAAAUUAUAGUCACAGUGAAGGACUGAAUAUAACCGAGUUUUUAGCAAAGAAAAUAGAAAAUAAUUAAUAGAGAUACAUGGCUUGAAUAAGGUAAUAAAAUGAAAACUAACAUCUAUAGUGUUUGCUGUAUCAGGCAGAACUACACUUACAUCUAUUAUUAUAUUUAUUGACUUCUCAUAGCAAACCUCUAGAAAGAUACUAUUAUAAUUUCAUUUACAGAUAAGAUAAUUAAUAGCAGAUUCAGCAACUAGACCAAUGUUACAUAAUUUGAGAUUGGUUGAGUCAAAUACUGAGUACAGGCAAUCUGUCUCCAGAGAUUUGGCUCUUAACUACUUUGUUGCAGUCUCUUGAUUAAUAAAUCAAAGUAAAGAGGCAUAAAUAGGUUUUGUGCCUAGAUACAGAUUGUACACAUUAUUUUAAAUGUCUAUAAUACAUUUAUAUACCUAAUCAAUGUCAAAAAAUAGAAAAUAUGCAAAUAAUUAUUUUGCCUCAGUGUAAUAAACAUAAAAUACAACAAAACUAAGAAUAUAAAUAGAAUAAAAAUAAGUCUUGAUAAAUAAGUUUGGGGCAAAAAUGAAAUUAAAACUGGUAUUACAAACAUUUUAUAAUAGGAAACCAAUAAAGAUCAAAUGUGUACAUAGGGAAAAAUGAAUUAACUUACAUAUAUUAUUACACAGGAAAGAAUGUGAAAGGAAAGGAAAGAAGUAAGGAAGGGGAGAAAGAGAAAAAGAGAGAGGAAGAAAGAAAGAAGAAAGAAAAGGAAGAAAGGAGGGAGGGAGGAAGGAAGAUAGGCAAAUGAUAUUCAUAUAUCAGUGUCAGAAAAGAAAAAUAUUGGGUGAAGGUGAAUAAAUAUUUAAUAUUUUGGAAAAUAUAAACAGUAUAAUAUCAAGAAAAUAAGAAUAAUGUAAGGCUAAAUAAUUGCAUGAUUCUGAUUGUGUUUCUAUUAGUAAAUACUACAUAGAGUUUUUUUUAAGUAGGACAGAAACAGAGUAAAUUAACUGUGACAAUACUGUUGUGGAAUACCAGUAAUCCACACUUUUAUGCUCUAAAAUACAUUUUACAUGUUCUACUAUUAAUAUUUUGUCUCAUACCAUUUUUACAAAGAAUAAUUACUACUUACAUAGCACAGGGCCAGCACUGAGAGAUGUGAUGAUGAGUGAGAAGAACAAAUGUUAGAAUCCAAAGAAAAAUUCAAAAAUAAAAGCAUGAACUUAAAAAAAGUGUAUAGAUACCAAAGAUCACUUUGAAAAACAUUGUUAAACAAGAGGCAGAUAUUCACUUAUGAUUCUGUUUAUCCAACAGCAGACUAAAACAAUUUAUAAUGUUAAGAAUCAGAAUGCAGUUUCCUGAGAGUAUGGAGGGUGGUAGCAAAGAAAAUCAAUAAGAAAGGGACACAGGAAAACUUUCUGGGUUGAUGAAAAUGUUUUAUACCUUGUUUGGAAGGGAAUUACAAGGCAAUGUACAAUUUUUUGGCAGAACAUUUAAGUCUGUUUUCCCAGUCCUUGAAUCUGGGCUGACCUUGUUAUUUUCUUUGGUCGAUAAAAUGAGACAAAAAUGACACUGUGCCAUUUAUGAACCUAGACUUCAAGAGGCGUUAUCCUAUUCAACAAAUUGGAUUCAGGACACACCAUCUCACUUACUCUGAGUAUGAACAACUUUUCACAUCAGGGGUGAUAAGAUAAAACUAUGCCAAAGGAAUUAUCAAGUUCUCUUCAUCUCAAAAAACAACACAAUGUUCUUUUGGGCUUCAAAUUUGAAUGGAAUGAACUUUGGAGUAAACCAUUUAACUAUAUUAUUCUCGGCUGCCAUUUUAAUCAUAGAUGAGAAAGAUUAGGUCUAUUUGCUCUAUGAUAUAGUCCCGCAUGAAGAGAGCCUCAUUCAUCAAAGUUAUAGAUUUCAGAUAUGAAAAUAUCAAGGGGAGAUUUGUGGACCCUUUGGGAGAGCCAUUAGCACAUAGUAUCUAGUGGAUCUGUGAACAGGUGAUAGAUGUGGAGUGUCUACCCCUGGCAUUCCAGACAUGUUCUUGCUUGGGCCCUGGUAGAUGGCAUCUACGUCUCCAAAAAGACGUGGUGAAAACACUAUCCAUCUGGGAUCAAACAUACUUGGUUUUAAUUCUGGCUCUGACACAAGAUAUGUGACUUUGCUUGAGUGUAUUAACCUCUUGGAACUUCAGUUUCCUCAUUUGUACAAUAAAAACUGCCGUCUCUAUUUCCAACAUUGAUAUAUUCAUUUGAACUUGGGACAUUUUUAACUUUCAUAUUCCCUAAUCUCUUAGUAAUUAUAAAAUCAUUUGGAUGAAGUUUCACCUUAAACCAAACCACUGAACCUCAAUCAUGCUCUUUGUGGCCAGGAUAUUUGUUGUCACUGAAUAGUAAAGAUGCCAACUGGUGAAAACACUACAUAUGUUUGGUUAUAAAACAGAAAUCAUCUUACAGUUUCCAGAGCAGACAAGAUAUCAUAGAAAGAGAUGGUUUUAAAAAAAUGAAGGGAAGACAUUUCCAUUAGAAAUCAUCUGUAUUGAGGAGUUCCCAUUGUGGCUCAGUGGAAACAAAUCUGACUAGCAUCCAUGAGGAUGCCAGUUUGAUCCCUGACCUUGAUCAGUGGGUUAAAGAUCAGGCAUUGCUGUGGUGUAGGCCAGCAGAUGUAUCUCCGAUUCGACCCCUGGACUGGGAACCUCCAUAUGCCGUGGGUUCAGCCCUAAAACG